UACGGAGGAUGCAAGCGUUAUCCGGAUUCAUUGGGUUUAAAGGGUGCGCAGGCGGAAUGAUAAGUCAGUGGUGAAAUCCUACGGCUCAACUGUAGAACUGCCAUUGAUACUGUUGUUCUUGAGUACACUUGAAGUGGGCGGAAUGUGUCAUGUAGCGGUGAAAUGCUUAGAUAUGACACAGAACACCGAUCGCGAAGGCAGCUCACUAAAUUGUAACUGACGCUCAGGCACGAAAGCGUGGGGAUCAAACAGGAUUAGAUACCCUGGUAGUCCACGCCGUAAACGAUGAUCACUCGAUGUUGGCGAUAUACAGUCAGCGUCUAAGCGAAAGCAUUAAGUGAUCCACCUGGGGAGUACGGCCGCAAGGUUGAA
rnacentral:rRNA from 1 species